rnacentral:rRNA from 1 species
AGGCCUAACACAUGCAAGUCGAACGAGAAAGCAGGAGCAAUCUUGUGAGUAAAGUGGCGUACGGGUGAGUAACACGUGGAUUAUCUACCUUCUAGUGGGGGAUAACCCUGGGAAACCGGGGCUAAUACCGCAUAAGCUCGAGAGAGGAAAGCAGCAAUGCGCUGGAAGAGGAGUCCGCGGCCGAUUAGCUAGUUGGUAGGGUAAAAGCCUACCAAGGCUACGAUCGGUAGCCGGCCUGAGAGGGCACACGGCCACACUGGCACUGAAACACGGGCCAGACUCCUACGGGAGGCAGCAGUGGGGAAUCUUGCACAAUGGGGGCAACCCUGAUGCAGCGACGCCGCGUGAGCGAUGAAGCCCUUCGGGGUGUAAAGCUCUUUCGGCAGGGAAGAUUAUGACGGUACCUGCAGAAGCAGCUGCGGCUAACUACGUGCCAGCAGCCGCGGUAAUACGUAGGCAGCAAGCGUUGUUCGGAGUUACUGGGCGUAAAGGGCGUGUAGGCGGUUCUCUAAGUCUGGUGUGAAAUCUCCCGGCUCAACUGGGAGGGUGCGCCGAAAACUGGAGGACUAGAGUGCGGGAUGGGAGAGUGGAAUUCCUGGUGUAGCGGUGAAAUGCGUAGAUAUCAGGAGGAACACCUGUGGUGUAGACGGCUCUCUGGACCGCAACUGACGCUGAGACACGAAAGCGUGGGUAGCAAACAGGAUUAGAUACCCUGGUAGUCCACGCCCUAAACGAUGCAUAUUUGGUGUGGGCCAUUCAUUUGGUCUGUGCCGGAGCUAACGCGUUAAAUAUGCCGCCUGGGGAGUACGGUCGCAAGGCUGAAACUNCAAAGGAAUUGACGGGGGCCCGCACAAGCGGUGGAGCAUGUGGUUCAAUUCGACGCAACGCGAAGAACCUUACCUGGGCUCGAACGGCUCACGAACGUCCUUGGAAACAGGGAUUUCCCGCAAGGGACGGGAGUCGAGGUGCUGCAUGGCUGUCGUCAGCUCGUGUCGUGAGAUGUUGGGGUAAGUCCCGCAACGAG